GCCUUCGUGGUGUAGUGGUCAGCACGCUCGACGCGUAACCGAGAGAUCCGUGGUUCGAUUCCAGGCGAAGGCG
rfam:Stegodyphus mimosarum contig113266, whole genome shotgun sequence.